CCCACCUGUAGCUGGGCGCGGAUGACGUGCUUCCACCGACCACCGCUGGCUGCCCUCAUGAUGGCACGACUGGUGCAGCUGUCGAGCCUGCUGCGCCUUAUCUAGUGAAAAAACGAACUUGUGCUGUUACUGUGGCCCUACAUUUUGUGCUGACUGCUCAAGAUUGCCAGGUAGCAGCCUAUUUGCUGUGUAAUGUAAUGCUCUGCAGCCUACUCACAAGAGAUCCCUGAACCAUAUCUGAAUGGAGUUGGCUGAACUCGUGCACAAGGUCCAUUUGCUUUGCCGGCUAGAAGGGUUGGGGUAGUUGACAUGGCUUGCAAUUGUCCUCUAAUUCAGGCUUCAGUUCUCUCUGUUUUACCACACGACUUAUUAGUAUGGGAUGGUAUAGACAUUCAGAAACUGGGAUGCUAAUAACCUGUGUAGUCUUGUUGGCUGUGUAAGCCCCCUUUGGGCCUUAUAUGUGUUUAACUAUUGUUCCCAUAUAUUCUUUACCUUCCUUAAAAAACAAAUAUAUUGUGCAUGUAACUCAAUUGUACUUUCUGUGUAAUUGCGCGAUCU